rnacentral:lncRNA from 1 species
GGAAAAAUGAGUUAACAGAGAUCCCACCGAUGGCCACUAACCAACUCUGCAAGAGGCUGUGGGUUUCACCCUACACAAGAAACUACCAAAUUGACUUCCGGUGUGGGGCUUAAGCCAGGUGGCCGUCAAAGUCACAUUCCACCUUGUGCCCUCUCUUCUCAUGGACCAGGAAAAUGGCAGAGGAAGCACCUCAGACUACAGAGGGGACACGAGCUGCUGGGGUCAACCCAAUCGGUUGCUGCUAAAAGUUCAAGGGCAUUUCAUCUCCAGAGCAGCAUACACACUCUCAGGACCUCGGGCUGUGCAUGCUGGCUCCCAGAUCACUUGGUUUUGUUUGCUUUUAAUUACUCACCUGCUAAGAUUGCCAGUUUGCUUGUUUUUGUUUCUCUUUAUGGGGAUUAAAAAUGGAUUUUCCUGGUUUUGUAUGUGUUUUAAAAUAAUAACAAGAAGAAUUAUUCCAAGUAGUUAUGAGAAUAGAAUUACAUAAAUGCAAUUAAAAUGAGCU